UUUAUAUUUAUUUUAUUUGUGGGUUAUAGUCCUGAACUGACUGUGGCCAUUAAAGUCACAGUAGGACACAGCAGAUGUUUGGGAUGUUUGAUCUGGGGUUCAGCAGCAGAGCAGGGAAGGAAGACAGUAGCAGCACUAAGGUUACACAAACAGGACAUCCGGAAUUCAUUCUCACAACACACACAGAUACAUAACAGGCCGGGAAAUGAGCUGGGCUCAGAGACAAUGACUCAAACUGUCAGAGAGAGGUGUGCAGGAAUCAGUGCCUAACCCUAAAUACUCUAAAGGGUUUUUACGGUGACAAAUUAACUCUUUCUGUAGAAAAUACACCUUUAAGUCAUGCAUUUUGAAAAAAGCAUAUUUGAACAUUUUGUUUUUGUAAUAUUUCUUACAUUUUAUACAGUCAGAGCUUCACAAAGCAAAACCUGCUCUAAAAAUAAAAGCUAAAAAUAAAUUAUUAUGCCGGUCACAUAUAGUACGGUUCCUUUGGGAAACAGUGUGAAUUCACUAUAAUUGCCGUCCACAAAAAAAAGUUCAAACAGCAAAAUCUACAAUAUUAUCAAGUUUUUGUUUCCCAGUUAUUAAUAAUUACUAUUCUCAAUAGUUUAAUUCCUUCAUUUGCUGUUGGAUUCACCUCAGUGAAACAGAAAGGAGCACAUUACUCUCUUGUUUUGUUGGGUUACAGUGAGAAUCUGAGUUAGACCUGGAAGGUCAGACCUCAGAUAAAACUGAUGGGUCAGUCAGCAAACACCAGAACCAGAUACAACAGUUGGAACCAAUUUUUGUGCCUUUAGUUUAUAUGACCUUUGUUAUAAAUCGAUGCUUAAGAAACGACUGAAUCUGAAUCUUCAUAUUACAGGUUCUUAUACUGGAGUUGAAUUGUUGCAACUUUGCUUGUUUUCCUUGCAUUAGCUCCAGCUGACUCUCCCACCACCGACCAAAGGAGACAAAGCGUGGUCAGUCAGGUCUGCAGCUGACCGCUCUGGAGGCGCGGCGGCUUUUGGCAAGACGGGAAAUGGGCCCUUCAGAAAGACACAAAACAAGCAACCCGCAGAGCUAACUGCCUGAUUAGCUGUGCUGCUGUCUGGAGCUACAAUACCUUAAAGGACCAGAGACUCGACUGAUGAGACAGAAAAGAUCCAUCACAGCAACUAAGUGACCUUAACCCCACUGGGAGCGCAGAGACACAGGACUGAACACAGGUCCUCUCUCACAGCUGUCAGCAAGCAGCAGCUAAACUAAACAAGCGGGACCAUUCAGAUGAAGUAUAACAGCAGGCAUGAAAAUCUCCUUUUAACACGAAUCCCUUCUGUUCCACUGAUCGACCACGCCAGAGGAAAUGCAUCAGCCACCUCCAGCUUGUCUUCUGAAACCGAACCGGCUCAUUGGGCUUAACGAGCAUUCUGCAUUUCACAUUCAUUAAUCAGUGUUUAAAAGACAGCAAGAAAGACUACUGUCAGGUGGCAUUGCUUUUUAACGCGCACUAUCUCACUCCACUGCCAGUCACACAGUCCAAUUAAUGCCUUUCCAGAUUCCCUUUCUUUUGGAUUGCAAAUGGAAGCAGAAUAUUUUAGGUUUUCUGAAAAUGUUUUGAUUUAUUUCCAAUUACGAGCUGGCAUGGGCCGGCUCGUCAUUAAAUGAUUUUGUUUCUUACCAAA